UUAGGUGGUUAUAGCGACAGGGUUCCACCUCUUCCCAUUCCGAACAGAGAAGUUAAGCCUGUCCACGUCGAUGGUACUGCUGCAAAGUGGGAGAGUAGAUAGCCGCCGUUU
rfam:Paludibacter propionicigenes WB4, complete genome.